UCUCUUCCUCAAAUGAUCGCGAUCUUUAAUUUAUUUUAAAGAUUGAGGAAAGUCGGAACACAUACUUUGUAAAAAGUUAAAAUGGUAGCGGGUAACGCCCGUCCAUCGUAAGAUGAGAGUUGCGAACAGAAACGAUCCGAUUUAAUUCGGCUGAAACGGCAAAAUACUUACCCAUGUGCAAGGUCGUGCUCUAAUUUAUUAGAGAGUGCCGCUCGAGAAUAUUAGUAAUAAUAUCCCUAGAUAAAUGAUCAUAUAAACAGAAUUCCGCUUAUGAGAAGAGAAUAU
rnacentral:RNase_P_RNA from 1 species